rnacentral:lncRNA from 1 species
GAAUAUAAGCCCAAUGGCCCACUACGUUAUUCAACAUUGACAUUGCCUUUUAAUAUAGCAGAGAACGAUGUUUAAAAACAUUGUCAUUGUCUUUAUAGCUUACUAGUUACUAUGUUAAUCAAACGCGUUAUUAAUACAUGUUCAUUUUCCUGUUUAUGACUGACUUGUUUAUGUCUGACUUAUUUAUUACUAACACAAAAUAUCGUCCAUGUAUUAGCCCCCCGUAUAUAAGCCCCCCC